rnacentral:rRNA from 1 species
GAUGAACGCUGGCGGCGUGCCUAAUACAUGCAAGUCGAGCGAACGGACGAGAAGCUUGCUUUUCUGAUGUUAGCGGCGGACGGGUGAGUAACACGUGGAUAACCUACCUAUAAGACUGGGAUAACUUCGGGAAACCGGAGCUAAUACCGGAUAAUAUUUUGAACCGCAUGGUUCAAGAGUGAAAGACGGUCUUGCUAUCACUUAUAGAUGGAUCCGCGCUGCAUUAGCUAGUUGGUAAGGUAACGGCUUACCAAGGCAACGAUGCAUAGCCGACCUGAGAGGGUGAUCGGCCACACUGGAACUGAGACACGGUCCAGACUCCUACGGGAGGCAGCAGUAGGGAAUCUUCCGCAAUGGGCGAAAGCCUGACGGAGCAACGCCGCGUGAGUGAUGAAGGUCUUCGGAUCGUAAAACUCUGUUAUUAGGGAAGAACAUAUGUGUAAGUAACUGUGCACAUCUUGACGGUACCUAAUCAGAAAGCCACGGCUAACUACGUG